UCCAUCGUCGUCGGAGAGUCCAAGAGACAUAUGCCCCUUCAACAAUUUUAUUGGUCGUACUCUUAAAAUUCAUCUCCUAAUCCACGCACUUUGUAUUGUCUACGUUAUUACGUCAUCCACUAUCAAUACUUUUAACAAAGAGAAAUUAAAUUACUAUUGAUUAUAUUCUCUUGUUUGUUGAUUCCGUUCCACACAUGUCGGAUCUUACUUACGUAAUUAGUAAUAUACUCUUUUAAGGUUUAUAAUUUCAUUGACUUCAGAGUAUUGGUCCAACUCCAACGGAGGUAUAGUAAGGAUUGUAAUGCAAGCAAAUGAAAGAGUCAAAAUGUCGAUACUUGGGGAAGUUUGGGCUGCAAAGCUUGAGACGUUCCGGUUAGCUACACGAUUUGCAUGCAGUUGUAAGAUGGGGAACAUAUGAGAAAGCGGUUAUAGGCGUUUCAAAAAAAAAAAAAAAGAAACAAGAGCUAAAGAAGGAGAAUCACGAUAAGUUACAAAGAGAUUUACGGCAAAGAUCAAAUUGAUGUGCUCUCCUCUGAACUCUGAUGGUAUCAUGAGAGAGACAUAAGGCUUGCUAACAAGGUCUUGAAUGGGGAAGGAAAAACCUCAAAAAACUGAAGGUUUCCGUUGGAUCUCUUGCAUUCUCUGAACCAUUUGGUUGUUGUAAGGGAACUUAUUGUUCCUCUGUGCGU